UAUAGCCAUAUACCCAGCUCUGGAGAAAAUUAUAUAUAUAUAUAUAUAUAUAUAUAUAUAUAUAUAUCCUCAGACAUGGGAGUCUCUGCAUAACCAUUAUGCUGUCUAUACCCCAUAUUCAGUUUGUCUAUAGUACAGUCUCACUUUGGGACAUGAGAGGUACCAGCCUCUAUUUUAUGAAGCUCCCAUACCUGCUUAUACCUGAUCUCUCUGACUUACUUGUUACCUUCUGACUCAGAACCCCAAACCCUGACCUCAUCUCUGCUAAGGCUACUUACUUCAUGGUCAAUGUUGUUACUCAGCCUGGGGACUGGAAGCCAGACUUGGGAAAUUUCAGGAGAAUUGGCAGAUGAGGUUGGAAGUAUUUGGACUUUCAAGAGAAAGACAGGUAGAAGUCAACCACAAUUUAAAGAGACAGCUCAUGGAAGGCUUUUAAAAUAGGCUAGGUUAAUGCAUACGUUUAUAGAUAGAUUUUAGAGAUUUUACCUGUAGGAAUAAGGCUUCAGAAGAGGCUGGGUCAGGGGUGGGGAGCAGGAGUAGGAAAGAGCAACCGUUGGUUAUUCCCAGGGAGAUCCUGAAGCUCAGAAACAACAAUACCUUAAGAGAUGGCAGGAAGGACACCUUUUGAAGUCUAAAAUCCUCUAAUGAAUGAGUCUAGAGUUUGGGAAAAUAGAGGGCACAGGCGUGGCGUGAGGCAGUACCCUGAGGCAAUAGAAAUCUCCAGCAGUGCAUCCUACAGCCUCUCAUAAUAUAUCUAUGGAUGUAGCAGAAACACCUAAACCAAAUGGUCAUGAAGCUUGGUGAAGAUCCAGGCCCAGUGAGGGUUGAUUAAUGGGUCCAUGUCAGUGUGGACUAGAGGGACGUCUCCAGCAGUGUGUCUUAAGGCUCAGUCUGGGCCUGAGUCCUCUGACAUUUUUAUUGACAUCUGACCAAAGGAGCAGGCUCAUCAAGUUUGCAGGUGAUAGAGCUAGGAGGGGCAGCUAAUACUUUGUAUGAAGAAGUCAGGAUUCAAAAACGAUUUCAACAGGCUGGAACACUGGGCUGGAACCAACAAGAUUAAAUUUAACAGGGAUAAAUGUAGAGUCCUGCACUUAGGUUAAAACAAAAUCAAUGACAUAAGUACCGAGUGGGGGUGGGGUGGGCCCAGCUUGACAGCAGUUCAUGAAGAAAAGACCUGGGGGGUUUAGUUGACUGCAAACUCAAUAUGAGUCAACUGUGUGAUGUGACUGCUAAAACCUCUAAUACACUCAUGGAUCACAUUAACCAAAAAGGAGCAGCCAGAUCAAGGAGGUGCUUAGCCACUGCGUCCUGAGGUGGUUAGACCACCUCUGGUGUACUGGGCCCAAUUCUGAGUUUUAUUUCCCUGUUAUUUAAGGCCACUAAUAAAUGAGAAUAUUUUAGACACAUAGCCAGUUUGGCCCUAAAUAUCCCCAGAAACUGGCCAGAAAUUUUACCAUGCUGAAGUUCUGGGAUGAGGGGCAGGGACAUACAUAAUCUGACCUCAAGCAAAAAGACAGUUGUAUCUGGAACACCUUGGGGAUUUGGGAAAAGAUACUGGGUGAGGUCUGCUUUGCCUCAAAUAUAUAUAUAUAUAUUCCCUUUUGUUGCCCUUGUUUUAGUUAUUGUUGUUUUUGAUGUUGUCAUUGCUAGAUAGGACAGAGAUAUGGAGAGAGAAGGGAGAAGACAGAGAGGGGGAGAGAAAGAUAGACACGUACAGACCUGCUUCACCGCUUGUGAAGCGACUCCCCUGCAGGUGGGGAGUCGGUGGCUCAAACCGGGAUCUUUACACCGGUCUUUGCGCCACGUUCGCUUAACUGGCUUCGCUACCGCCAGACUCCCUUUGCCUUAAUUCUUACUGACAUCCAAAUGUCAAUCAUCCCAGGGCUUCCUGAGUCAGACUGAGGAUUAGAGGUUACUUAGGAACACUCUAAAUGGGGGUCAGCGUUGGAGUGGGUAUAAAAUGGCUGUGAGGUGGGAAAGAAUCCGAAAAUGUGGACCCUUGCCAUCACUUCCCCUGCACCCCGCGUCCCCGCGCCCCUUCCCAGAACAUGCAGUUCUCUUUUCUGUCACUGCGUGGCGCCCUAGCUCCAUGCGGGGAUGCAGAAUGGGCGGCGAGGCGGAAGCUGCCUUCCUUCCCUUCGCUCCCCACUGCAGGAAGCCCGCAGGUGCUGCUCCACUUUGGCUUAGGCCAGACCUUUAUGGGACUUUUGCUCCCAAGACAUUUAUUGCAGAGUGGUCACAAGCUUAUUCAAAAAUAUAAUCCAGAUGUAGCUCUUGUUAGCCACUCCUUUUCUUCCCUCAAACAAAAACAAAAACAGAGUCGCUGUGCAUGUGACUUCUCAUCUGCCCUGGUUGUGAGAUCAGCUGUUCUUCCAGCAAGAAGGCCUCUUGUCAUCCAGGGCUCGAUAGCUCUGGGGUCACAGAGAGCCCAAAUCCCGUUCCACAAACUGGCUUACAAUGGCCACCAACUUACCUAAACUCUGUGUUUUGAAUUCUGGAGUGGACUGACACUACCAACGUCAUGGACUAGUUAGGAUGGAAGGAGACAAGGCUUCACUACUCCAGGUUGAUAGAAGAGCAGAGACAGAGAAGCAGGGGGAGAAGGAGAGACACUGUAACACCUAAGCUUCACCCUUUGUGGCGGGGUCAUGCUUGAGCCUGGGGAGCGCACAUGGCAGAACAGGAAUACUUCCAGCCACCAGGUUCCAGAUGCCACCAUCAUGCCAACCGGACUUCCCAGGGCAGAGGACCCCACCGAUGUGUCCUAGAACCCCACCUCCCAGAGCCCUGCCCCACUAAGGAAAGAGACAGGCUGGGAGUAUGGAUCAACCUGUCAAUGGCCCUGUUCAGCGGGGAAGCAAUUACAGAAGCCAGACCUUCCACCUUCUGCACCCCACAAUGUCCCUGGGUGCAUGCUUCCAGUAGGUUAAAGAAUAGGAAAGCUAUCAGCAGAGGAAAUGGGAUAUGGAGUUCUGGUAGCAGGAAUUGUGUGGAAUUGUACCCCUCUUCUGCUAUGGUCUUGUCAGUGUUUCCAUUUUAUAAAUAAAAGCUUAA